CCUACGGGAGGCAGCAGUGAGGAAUAUUGGUCAAUGGACGAGAGUCUGAACCAGCCAAGUAGCGUGAAGGAUGACUGCCCUAUGGGUUGUAAACUUCUUUUAUAAAGGAAUAAAACGAGUCACUUGUGCCUUUUUGCAUGUACUUUAUGAAUAGGGAUCGGCUAACUCCGUGCCAGCAGCCGCGGUAAUACGGAGGAUCCGAGCGUUAUCCGGAUUUAUUGGGUUUAAAGGGAGCGUAGAUGGGUUGUUAAGUCAGUUGUGAAAGUUUGCGGCUCAACCGUAAAAUUGCAAUUGAUACUGGAAGUCUUGAGUACAGUUGAGGUAAGCGGAAUUCGUGGUGUAGCGGUGAAAUGCUGAGAUAUCACGAAGAACCCCGAUUGCGAAGGCAGCUUACUAAACUGUGACUGACAUUGAUGCUCGAAAGUGUGGGUAUCAAACAGGAUUAGAUACCCCUGUAGUC
rnacentral:rRNA from 1 species